UGGGGAAUUUUGGACAAUGGGGGCAACCCUGAUCCAGCCAUGCCGCGUGAGUGAAGAAGGCCUUCGGGUUGUAAAGCUCUUUCGUCUAGGAAGAAAUUGUCUGUGUGAAUAAUGCAGAUGGAUGACGGUACUGGAAGAAGAAGCACCGGCUAACUACGUGCCAGCAGCCGCGGUAAUACGUAGGGUGCGAGCGUUAAUCGGAAUUACUGGGCGUAAAGCGUGCGCAGGCGGUAAUGCAAGACAGGUGUGAAAUCCCCGGGCUCAACCUGGGAAUGGCGCUUGUGACUGCAUUGCUAGAGUGCGGCAGAGGGAGGUGGAAUUCCACGUGUAGCAGUGAAAUGCGUAGAGAUGUGGAGGAACACCGAUGGCGAAGGCAGCCUCCUGGGUCGGCACUGACGCU
rnacentral:rRNA from 1 species